GAUAUCAAGGGAUAGAGUUAGGGUUUCUGUGGGUUUUGUUUUUGCUGAGGAAAGGAUGUGCAGGUCGAUAGCUAUUGUUUCCUUUCCAUUCCUGUGAUUCUCUUUACAUCUGUAUAUAUCUAUCACACCAUGCUGACUUUGUGAUGAGUCCUGUUCCUCAGAAACAUCAAGCUGGGUUCCUUUUCAAAGAAACACACAGAUCAUAUUUCUCCAUCUCAUUUUGUUUUCACAGGGAGCUUUUCUUAUCAACAAAGUCGCAUGCUUUUUUUUUUGGAUAUAAUGUUUAUCACGUCUGGAGAGCCAUAAACAGUAAAUACAGAGGAUAUCAAUGCCCAGAAUAGUUAUUUUGAUGAAAUCCUAUUUUUAGAUAAUAAAUUUCAAGAUGUGUCUAUAGUGUAUUGUUUAAAACAACUGAAGACAUUUGAGACGUACAUAAAGUAGACAUUUUUAAUUUAGGGAAACUUAUAUGCCCUUUUUUAAGAAGCCAUUCUAAUAAAAUAAUCUGACUAAUUGGCCCAAAAUACAAUAAGUAUCACUUUCUAACAGAGACCAAAGGGAAGCUGAGAGGCUUUCCUUUUAUGUACUACCGUUGGAUCGCUGCAGCCGCCUCUCAUAACACCCAACAGAACCCGGUGAGGCUCUGUGGGCUUCCCGCGGCCCUCAGGGAGGCUGCAGAGUCCCCUAGUCCAUGUCAGGGAGCCGCCAUCCCACAUACCUCCAAAGCCUGUCCUCGCCUGCAGUUUUUGCAGAGCUCGCGGUUGGAGGUGGAAAUUUAGAAGCCCUGUGUUGCAGGAGAGGCAGUAGCACCCCCAGGCAGCUCUUAGCAGGGACAGACCACCCCCCGCCUCGCUGGUAUUUUAGGGUCUUUUGGUAUUUUGCCACUGUGUGGGGCUAGGCGGGUGGCUGGAGGACACGGUGUAGGCCUUGCCGCUGUCUGGGUUCCUCGCCACUGCAGGAGCAGGGCUGUUUCUGGAAACACUGGGCUGCUGGUGACCCGUCAAACUUCUCCCACAAAUUCUGAAUCCGAGAAAGUGAAGGAAGGAUGGUGGGGAAGUGAGGAGGCAGGAGCAGAGGCCACAGGGACCAACCAGAGAUGCGGUGGAGACAGAGGAGCUUCCUUCUCAGGCUGUUUCUGGGAAGCCUGAGAGGCGGCCAGCACCACCCUCCGCUCACUCUCCCCUCAGCCUCUUCGCUUCCCUUCUCAACCCUUUCUCUCCUCCUCGCCUCUUCCCUUUCUUGCUGUCUUGUUAGUCCCUGUCCCAAAACUCCUGGCUCCUUUGUUCUGCUGCCGUGGCCCCCACCCAGGAGGAGGUCUCAGGCACCAUCCCCCCACGAGGGAUCCACACAACAGGUUCAUGCUGGGGCUGGGGGAGCCCCGCUGGGUUCCUGAUGCCUUGUGCACAGGGAGUUGCUGCAGUCAUUUUUGGACUCUCCUGAAUGUGUCCACAUGUUCUGACCUCCCACCAGAAGGAACGCUGGUGGCCACAUCUCUAGAGAUCUAUUUACUUUUUUGAGACCGGCUUAUGAGAUUGGCUAAUUUUUGUAUUUUUGGUAGAGAUGGGGUCUCACCAUGUUGCCCAGGCUAGUCUCGAACUCCUGGCCUCAAGUGAUCUGCCCACCUCGGCCUCCCAGAGUGCUGGGAUUACAGGCAUGAGCCACCGCGCUGGCCUCUAGAGAUUCACACCAAACAAUAUCACUCCUGCGGGAACCGCAGACAGAUCAAACCCUGGUGAGAGGAACACUUUAUUUCCCAACUCAUCAUCCUAAGCCAAGGUUGGAGGGAUGAGCAUUCCCUAAACACCAAGGCGAGAUCACCUGGUCCCAGUGCCUCUUUUCACACAGGCCCUAGAUUUCUAUCUCUCUGCAGUUUAUGCAUCGGUAAAAAAAAAAAAAUCUCUCCCAGUGUGCCCCGUUAGUUUUCAGCAUUUUGUAAGCAAAAUGAACUUAACACAUAGUAAUUCUAAUUGAAGGUAUGUACAUAAAAAGCAUGAUAGAAUGGCAAUAUUGUAUCAAUGGAUGUACAUUUGUAAUAUUUGUAAAAAAAAAUCCAAAACCUUAAAAUAUGAAUUUACAUGUUAAUUUGCCUCUAAGUUCUAUAAAUUGCACUUCAGUGAUAUCUAAUAAGUGAAUGUUUCUGUUAAGUAAAUAAAAAUAUUCAGUAAAAUUGUU
rnacentral:lncRNA from 1 species